UAUUUAUAGAAAUAAACUAGAGGCUCUAAAGAGCCUGUGUCGCUCACCUUGGUCCAUGUGAAUAUUAAACAAUGGACACAGAUGGAUUCAUGACAAAAUUGUGUUUUGGUGAUGGUGAUUUGUUUGUAGAUCUUACUUUACUAAACAUUCUUGCUGCUUACAAUUAUCUCUAUCUAUAACAGUACUUUCUGUGGAAAAUGUUAUUGAAAAUCUUCAAAUUUUAAGAAAAUUGUUAAAAAUUGACUAUGAAGGGCAAUAACUCCUUAGGGGGUCAAUUGACUAUUUUGGUCAUAGUGACUUAUUUUUAGUUCUUGCUUUGCUGUACAUUAUUGCUGUUUACAGUUUAUCUCUAUCUAUAAUAAUAUUCAAGAUAAUAACAAAAAAACAGCAAAAUUUCCUCAAAAUUACCAAUUCAGGGGCAGCAACCUAACAACCGAUUAUCCGAUUCAUCUGAAAAUUCCAGGGCAGAUAGAAUGUGACCUGAUCAACACUUUUACUUCCUGUCAGAUUUGCUCUUAAUGCUUUGGUUUUUGAGUUAUAAGCCAAAAACUGCAUUUUACCCCCAUGUUCUAUGUUUAGCCAUGGCGGCCAUCUUGGUUUGUUGGCCGAGUUACCGGACACAUUGUUUUAACUAGAUACCCAAAUGAUGAUUAUGGCUAAGUUUGGUUAAAUUUGGCCCAGUAGUUUCAGAGGAGAAGAUUUUUCUAAAAGAUUACUAAGAUUUACGAAAAAUGGUUAAAAAUUGACUAUAAAGGGCAAUAACUCCUAAAGUGGUCAACUGACCAUUUUGGUCAUGUUGACUUAUUUGUAGAUCUUACUUUGCUGAACAUUAUUGCUGUUUACAGUUUAUCUCUAUCUAUAAUAAUAUUCAAGAUAAUAACCCAAAACAGCAAAAUUUCCUUAAAAUUACCAUUUCAGGGGCAGCAACCCAACAACGGAAUGUCCGAUUCAUCUGAAAAUUUCAGGGCAGAUAGAUCUUGACCUGAUGAACAAUUUUACCCCCCCCCCCCCCAUGUCAGAUUUGCUCUAAAUGCUUUGGUUUUUGAGUUAUAAGCCAAAAACUGUAUUUUACCCCUAUGUUCUAUUUUUAGUCAUGGCGGCCAUCUUGGUUGGUUGGCCGGGUCACCGGACACAUUUUUAAAACUAAAUACCCCAAUGAUGAUUGUGGCCAAGUUUGGUUAAAUUUGGCCCAGUAGUUUCAGAGGAGAAGAUUUUUCUAAAAGAUUACUAAGAUUUACGAAAAAUGAUUAAAAAUUGACUAUAAAGGGCAAUAACUCCUAAAGUGGUCAACUGACCAUUAUGGUCAUGUUGACUUAUUUGUAGAUCUUACUUUGCUGAACAUUAUUGCUGUUUACAGUUUAUCUCUAUCUAUAAUAAUAUUCAAGAUAAUAACC
rnacentral:lncRNA from 1 species